AGAGUUUGAUCCUGGCUCAGAUUGAACGCUGGCGGCAUGCUUUACACAUGCAAGUCGAACGGCAGCACGGGGGCAACCUUGGUGGCGAGUGGCGAACGGGUGAGUAAUACAUCGGAACGUAUCCUUGAGUGGGGGAUAACGCAGCGAAAGUUGUGCUAAUACCGCAUGAGCUCUGAGGAGGAAAGUGGGGGACCGUAAGGCCUCACGCUGAAGGGGCGGCCGAUGUCCGAUUAGCUAGUUGGUGAGGUAAAGGCUCACCAAGGCUUCGAUCGGUAGCUGGUCUGAGAGGAUGAUCAGCCACACUGGGACUGAGACACGGCCCAGACUCCUACGGGAGGCAGCAGUGGGGAAUUUUGGACAAUGGGGGCAACCCUGAUCCAGCCAUGCCGCGUGAGUGAAGAAGGCCUUCGGGUUGUAAAGCUCUUUCGUGAGGGAAGAAACGGCCAUAGUGAAUAGCUGUGGUUACUGACGGUACCUCAAGAAGAAGCACCGGCUAACUACGUGCCAGCCGCCGCGGU
rnacentral:rRNA from 1 species